rnacentral:tRNA from 1 species
GCCGGGAUAGCUCAGUUGGUAGAGCAGGGGAUUGAAAAUCC